UCCAUUACUAGUACUACGGGAUGUCUAUAAGAGCAGAUCACCGGGACAGCCCGCUGAAUUUCAUGAGAUACCGAGAUGCAAGAGCGAGAAGCGAGACUGAAAAGAAAAAAAAGAAGAAAAAGAAAUUAGAGAUACUUUUACUGAAAAUUACGCACCAGAGCUGGCGAUGGGGUUAGACAGGUUUGAUCAAGUCGUGAACUGAAGAAACCUCACCAGGACUGAUGAAAACCCGAAAGGUAAGUUUUAUUUCCUUUCCAUUGUGCAAAUUUCUUUGUCUUCUACAUAUUUGGGAUGAUUACAAUGGCUGUGAUCCACGUGCAGCAAGAAAUUACAACAACAAAGAGCUUUGUUAAAUCACUGUAAGCUCACUCUUUCUUUCUCCCACCCCCCCUCCUUCCCCUUCCACCGUCUGUCACUGAAUUUUCCCCUGCGUGCCAUUUCGUGAAUGUACGGUAGAUUACAGAGUCUGGAAGUUACUGCAGUGUGAGUCACUUUGGCGCACAUGGGCAGUGACAACUGAAAAAAAAAAAAA